AUUAAUAACGUGUUUCUAACAUAUUAAUUUGUCGUUUCUAGCAAAUCAAGAAACAGUAUAAAAAAAAUUUGCAGUAACCUAUUUCCGAGACGUAAAUUAGUGAGAUUGCUCUAGGGUGAAUCAUUGUUUUAUUUAACAAAGCAUACAGGCGUCUUCUGUAUGAAAACCAAUUUUUAAAUUUUCGACAUGUUGUCGUAGUGUCUUGAUAUAACGUGGAUUUAUAUGUGCAUUGCUGUCUCCCAGUGAGAGGUUACAGCAGUUAGUGAAAGUUAACCCACUCGUCAACUGAAAUAUGGCAUCCUUACUAAAUCUUCAAAUCCGAGUGUCCGCAGGAAGAACCUGAAGUUCCCCUUGGUAACUCUCCAAAUGAAAUUUCCCAUCAAAGCGACAGAAGCUCAGCCGUGGUGUCAGGGUCAUACAUCGGAGCAAGACCGAAAAUUUAUGCUGCUAACAUUGUCCGUAUUAACUUGAAGUAAAACUAAUCAGGAUUCCACUCUACUGAACAAUUUUUCGAAAGUAUUAGAUUUUAAAAUGGUGUUUUCAUUGUAACUAGGAAUAAUUAUUGUUAGUUAAGAAAUGGACCAAUCCUGCAGCUAAAUAUAUAGUUGUAUAAAUAAUAAGAAAAGAUAGUGUAGAUCUUUGCACUAGGAUAUGAAACGUUCAAUGUGUACUUACGUAAUGCUAUGGUUUGUAAAUAAUAUAAUAUCAGUUCCUUGUGUUUUGGCCAUCAAAAAUAUACAUGUUUUUGUUUUGGAAA